CUAAAGCUAACCCCACUAGAGGAUUCCUAAAAGAACAUCAGAAAGAAAAAUAAAAAGGUAUCUAGCCGUUAUUUAUUUAUCAUACCUAUUUAUUUUUCUUUCUGAUGUUCUUUUAGGAAUCCUCUAGUGGGGUUAGCUUUAG